AUGGCAGGAGGAGGCGAUAACUCGCAGACGAAUGGAGGAUCUCAGGAGCCGCGCGCCAUGGAGGAAGGGAGGAAGGAGGACUAUGACCAGGGCUGCGGCCUCGCCAUCUCUCUCCCCUUCGUCCAGAAGAUCAUCGCCGAGAUUUUCGGGACCUACUUCCUGAUCUUCGCGGGGUGCGGCGCGGUGACCGUCAACAAGAGCAAGGGGCAGAUCACGUUCCCCGGCGUGGCCAUCGUGUGGGGCCUCACCGUGAUGGUGAUGGUGUACUCCGUCGGCCACAUCUCCGGCGCUCACUUCAACCCGGCCGUCACCUUCGCGUUCGCCACCGUGCGCCGCUUCCCGUGGAGGCAGGUGCCGGCGUACGUGCUGGCGCAGAUGCUCGGGGCCACGCUGGCCAGCGGCACGCUGAGGCUCAUGUUCGGCGGGCGCCAUGAGCACUUCCCCGGCACGCUCCCCACCGGGUCCGACGUCCAGUCGCUCGUCCUCGAGUUCAUCAUCACCUUCUACCUCAUGUUCGUCAUCUCCGGCGUGUCCACCGACAACAGAGCCAUCGGGGAGCUGGCAGGGCUGGCCGUGGGUGCAACCAUCCUGCUUAAUGUGCUGAUAGCUGGGCCGGUGUCGGGGGCGUCGAUGAACCCGGCGAGGACGGUGGGGCCGGCGUUGAUCGGGAGCGAGUACAGGUCGAUCUGGGUGUACGUGGUGGGGCCGGUGGCCGGAGCCGUGGCCGGGGCGUGGGCGUACAACCUCAUCCGCUUCACCAACAAGCCCCUGCGCGAGAUCACCAAGAGCACCUCCUUCCUCAGGAGCAUGAGCAGGAUGAACUCCGUCUCCGUCUGA
rnacentral:rRNA from 1 species